CUACCAUUACAAACAUUAAUUGCCUUUUCCCACAACUAUUAGCACCCAGAUUUUCCAUGUGGCAGUGAAGGGUCAAACUGUGAUCCCUACUCCUGGUACAAGGUGAUAGUGAAUGAAGGUCCCUAGCAGUCCUUCAGAUUGAGGCUGUUCACACCAAACAAUGAAGCAGUCAUUGGGCACUGUAACACUCUUCCAGUCCAGCUGGAUCAUGCUGGAUUCAAAGGAAACACCUGCAAGUUAUAUAGAUGAAGUACCAUCUACAACCUGCUGCCACUUUACCUGAAUCUGCAGGAGUCCAACAAAGAAGAGACCUUGGCUGACUCUAAGUGCAGCAGUUCAUCUAGCAGAGAGCAUCUCUGAGUAGUACAAGGCAUGGUAGAAGAGCAAUGCUGCUCAGUGUUUGCCUACAGAAAAUGGGCCAUAAACUGCAGCUAUGAAGAUGUUCCUUUAAACUGGAAAAAAAAUCCCAAAUAGCUGCCAGACAAUGUCAUCAGUAAAGUGAUAUUGCUGACUCCUCUCCUCAUGACAUCUUUGACCUCCCCUUGUCCCAGUGAUACACAGACAUAUUUACACUCCCUUAUUAAAUUAAAUUGACUAAAUCCACCAAAUUUUGCAUAUUCAGUAGGGAAAGACUUAAAAUUGUUUCUGAAAAUUAAUCAGAAUGUCUAGCUAGCCAGCUUCUUCUUCUUCGUAAAUAAUACUUUUUAAAUGAAGCUUGGGUCUUAAUCUUCAUUGGAGCAAAAAUAAAAAAAUCAAAAAUUUUCAUGAGGAAGUUGACAUGUAAACACUGCUAUUAAAGAACAGCCAAAAGGCAAAUGGUCAGAUGUCCUGCUUGGUGUCUAUACAAUGCUUGCCUUAAUGCAGGGACGUGACUCUACAUCUCUUAAUGACAGCUGAGUACCCUAACCAGCAGGCUAAUGUUAUUUUUCUCUUUAGUUGGAGCUGUUUCAUCUUGUUUAAAUAAUUAAAUACUCAGUGACCCCUGAAGAGUGUGUUUCUCUAAUCCAGUGACUAGGACACUCACUUGGCAAAUUGACCUGUUGAUCUGAUAAGAAAGUAUUCUGCAAAGACAUUUAUAGUCAAUUUAUUCCUAACUAAAAAGGAGAGAGUUGGUUUUUUUUCCUCAUCCCUGCAUUAAUUCUCUCAAUAGUCACUUAUUUCCUGAUUCAGCACCAGUUGAUGUUUGUCACAGUGGUGGUAAGUUAGCAAUGUAGCACAUUUGUAAAGUGUAAGAAAAGGCUUGUAUAACAUAAAAUGGGCUUAACAUUUUAUAUAGAACAUAAAAUGGAUUUAAAACAA